ensembl:snRNA U2 U2 spliceosomal RNA
AUCGCUUCUCGGCCUUUUGGCUAAGAUCAAAGUGUAAGUAUUGUUCUUAUCAGUUUAAUAUCUGAUAACGUCCCCUAUUGGGGCCAUAUAUUAAAUGGAUUUUUGGAACAGGGAGACUGGAAAGAGAGCUGCUCUGUCCACGGUCCACGCAUUCGACCGGUGUAUUGCAUGUACUCCUCCAGGACCGGUGCACUCUCU